GGACGGGUGAGUAACGCGUGGGUAACCUGCCUUAUACAGGGGGAUAACAGUUAGAAAAUGACUGCUAAUACCGCAUAAGCGCACAGGAUUGCAUGAUCUGGUGUGAAAAACUACCGGUGGUAUAAGAUGGACCCGCGUCUGAUUAGCUGGUUGGUGAGGUAACGGCCCACCAAGGCGACGAUCAGUAGCCGACCUGAGAGGGUGACCGGCCACAUUGGGACUGAGACACGGCCCAAACUCCUACGGGAGGCAGCAUG
rnacentral:rRNA from 1 species